UUCACCUGUUGUCUUAGUUUGGGUUCCAUUGCUGUAAAGAGACACCAUGACCAAGGCGAAUCUUUUUUCUUUUUUUUUUAAACUUUAUUUAUUUAAUGUAUGUGUGCUCUGCUGCAUAUACAUCCCCCUGCAUGAAGAGGGCGUCAGAUCCCAUUACAGAUGGUUGUGAGUCACCAUGUGGUUGCUGGGAAUUGAACUCAGGACCUCUGGAAGAGCAGCCUAUGCUCUUAACCGCUGAGCCACCUCACCAGCCCCAAGGCAACUCUUAAAAUAAAAGUAGUUAAUUGGGGCUGGCUUGCAGUUUUAGAGGUUCAGUUCAGUAUCAUCACUGUGGGAUGCAUGGCAGUGUUCAGGCAGACAUGGAGCUGGAGGAGCCGAGAGUUCUACAUCUUGAUCCACGGGCAGCAGAAGGAGAUUGUAUCACACUGAGCAUGAUUUGAGCAUAUAUGGCCUCAAAGCCCACUUCCUCCAACAAGGCCACACCUUCUCAUAGGGCCAGUCCCUAUGGGCCAAACAUACAAGCACAUGACUCUAUUGGGCCAUGACUAUUCAAACCAUCACACCUGUAUAAUGCAGCCAAAUGCGACAAAGAGGAUGUCCAGGGCCGGUGGGAGCCUCCACACUUAACAACUCUCGACGAGCCGGGUUUGAUCCCUGAAAGACUCAGUGGAAGGGGAGACUUCCCCUGAAGGUUCUAAUCUGAUAUUGUCGUCGUUAGCUCGGCUUCCUACGGCUGGCAUAAAAUGCCAAGACCAAAGGCAC
rnacentral:lncRNA from 1 species